UCUCUCUCUCUCUUCUCUCCAACAUGGGCGACGCAGAGGCAACGGUGAGGUGAGGUGAGCGCGGCGGCAGCGACGGCGAGGCAGGGCGGCAUAGGGGGUGGGCGCGAGCAGCGUCUGAGUGGCGAGCGGCGACAGCAAGGCGAGCACGACGGUGGAGGAGGCGAGGCAGGGCGGUGCAGGGGCGCGGGCGCGAGCGGCGUCCGGGUGGCGAGCGGCGUCUGGGUGGCGAGCGGCGGAGGAGGCGAGCGCGGUGGCCGAGGAUGAGCUCCUCCUCCCCUCACCGCCGCCAUCGCCUGCAGCGUCGCCCCCACCCCUCAGCCACCGCCCGCCUCUAUCCUCGACGUCACGAGUGGCCUCCGCCACCACCUGCCGCCAUCCCGCCGCCCCAAGCUCCGUCCGCCCCCGCCGCCGUUCGUUCCACGCGCGCCGCCGCCUCUCCGCCAUGGCCACCGCCAUACGCACCGACGCUUCCGCCUCGUCUGCGUCACCCUCAUCCCCCGCCGUCGCCGCCUUCGUGUCACCCGCCACCGCCGCCGCUGCUCUGUCCCCCGCCCGCCGCCCGUGAGAGAGAGAAGAGAUAGAGGAGGAGAGAGAGGAAGAGUGAAGAGGAGUAUGACAAGUGGGUCCCACAAAUUUUUUAUAAAUAGAAUGUUGACUGGACUGCCAUGAAUACGCCACGUAAACCUAAACCACCGCAGAUUGGGUCGAGGGGGGUAAUUCGUCCAGUUUGUAUAGUUGGGGGUGAAGAAUACUAAUGUGUUCGGGGGGAGGGGGUUAGUCGUACUUUUUCAUUUCCGGCUUUCAUAUAGGGAGUUGCUAUAAGACAUUUGACAGUUUUGUAAAAACUUCCAAACGUAACUAGCUGAAGUAUAAUUAGAUCAUAAUAACUUAUAUGUAAUUGCCUAAUUCGUACCCCCAUGCACUCUUGUUCCCAAGGUUGCGGCUUAGAACCCCAUCGGUGCAUGUCACAAUAGAUGACUCCCUUGCACGAAUCUCAAUGUCAUGCAACGAUCCACAAAAUUGAAAGUUUUAAAAGAAAAACCGUUAAUAGUUUUUUUUAGCUAAUCCAUUUCAUACAUGACGAACCUAUACUAAUAUAAAAAACAUCAGUUCAUCGAACUCAAAUGUUUUUUUAUCCUUAUAUUUGUUCAUCCAACGGUCCAUAGAGUUGGAUUUACCCCUCAAUUAGCGAUCCCCAUCUCAAGUACGCAGCAGUUAGCGCAAAAAUAAAAGAAAACAAUUAGUCUCCCACGUCUAAACAGCAGUUAGGAUCGGUCAAAGCAAAAAAAAAAAAAAAAAAGGAACGCUCCCUUUUGUGCGCCAGCCCGCCGCCGCCUCCUCCCGCCGGAGCCGCUCAGCUCCUCCUAGCGCGCGCCAGCCCGCUGCCGCCGCCUCCCGCCGGAGCUGCUCGCCUCCUUCACGUGCUCGCCCGCCGGAGCCGCCUCACCCUACCCACCGCUGCCUGCUUCCCUGCUCGCGCCGCGCCGUGAUGGAGAGGAAAGAGAGGCGGGGUCUGCUCGCCCUACCCCGCCGCCUCCUCGCGUGCGCAGGCCGGACAUCCAGGCGUCGCCGCCGGAAAGGGGAUAUGAGGUGGCGGAGAUUCUUGCUAGGAGGAGGAGAGGGGGCCAUUGGAGGAGGGCUAGAGGUCGCUGCGCAUGGCCCGUGGGCGGUGGAGAGAUGAAGCCAGGAGGACGUCAGCGUCGGCGAGGUUGACUGGGCAAGAGGCGAGCGUCAACAGACGUUCCAGGGAGGAGCAGUCCGCUGGCGCGGUCGCAUGAGAGGGUGCCGACCGGAGGCAGAGCCGAGGACCCCUAGGACCGCACCCGCGCCACCACUGCUGCCAUCGUCAACAUCCUAUAUGAUUUUUCGUUGUUGUUGUUAUCAGGGAUGCGCUGGAACAAGGGCACAGGACCAGGGCCGCUGGACAUCAUCGAUGCUAGCAGAUAAGGACACCAACAACAGUUGAGGUUGAUGUUCCAUAUUCAUGCUUGCAAUGUGUUUGAUGAAAUGUUUAACUAGCACUAGCAUCAUCUCUUGUUUACAAUUUGACUAUUUGUAUUGAUGUCAUACUAACCAAAUUUCAGGUUGAUUGUUUACUGCUUUCAAAUUAACAAUUCAAUGGUUCUUGAUGUGUUCUACUUAACCUUUGCAUUUGUAGUAGUGUAAUUCUGAAGGUACAAAACACUAUUUCUACUGAACUUCGUCAAUUUAAGCAAAACUUUUGAACAUAUGGUCAUCCAUUGAGGCUCCCGCAAUUCCAGUUUGCAUGUUCUGCCACCAUUUUGGAUCAUAUUUUCCAUGCUUAUGGAAGGACUUAAUGAACUGAAGUAGUUUGUGUUGGCAGUGAUCUCCAUUGGAUAUCCCGUCUCUUCAGCCGGUCGUCAAUGAUACAACCAGGUCACGCAUGAGGUAGCAGUCCACUCCAACCCACCUACUGAAGACUUGUCUCAUUUGGUUUGAUUGAUGCGUGGAGUGAGGCACAUGCUGUCCAGAUCAAGUAGAACAUCAGCUUAUGAGAUCUGAAAGCAACAAAAGGGUACCAAUUUUACACCCAUGUAAAAUCCAGUGAUUUCAGUCCAUUCUUUGUGGCUAUUUUCAUACUGCAUCUUGGCAUUUGCUAUCCGUUUAAUAUGCUUGGCAAAUGAACUUGAAUUAGUACAAGUGGAUCUUUAGAUUUGUAUGUAGAAGGUCGAGAUGUUUGCAAAUGACAUAUGAGUUGAGUUGAGUGAUCUAGAAUUUAGUUCCUAUAGUGGAAUAUGGAUAGCUCCAGAAAUUGAUUUUUUUAGUCCAUUUAUUUUAAGCUCUACUAUUUGUUAAGUUUAUUCUCAAAAUAUUUAAUUUAUAGUAUUAUCCACAAUAAUUGGAGGGCAAAACUGACCAAAUUAAAGUUGCCAUAUGUUCAUCUGGAGUCUGAAAGCUGGCCUUGGUCUGCUUCAUUUUGGUGUUGUUGUGACUCCAACCGGUGACCGGAGCCCGUACUCACCGCUAGCUACCAUCCCCAACCUGCCCCAAUCUUUCUCCAGGUUAUGUUGCUAGCACUUGAUCUGUACACGCUGUGGGAUAAUUGCUUGUUGACAAGGAAGAUCAAAUCCUGAUGGUGGAAGAAUGGCACCCCCUGUGCUCCAGCUAACAAUCUGAUUAGUUUCCUAGAUGCUUGAUUAUUGAUUUUAUGUGUGAUCAUUUUAUUUUGUUUUUGUAUCAGGGCUGCAUAGAGUAUAAAAGCUUUGCCCCCCUAUGCUUGCACUGAGAGACUCUUCCGUAGCUGUCAUCGCAUAUAGUGUUGCAAGCAGUAUCCUAAACACUUAAAAGUAGGACUCACUAAAUUGAAGAAAAAACAAAUAGCUCUACCUUGCUUAUGAUGGUCCUUCAUAUUGGAGCACAUCUUCCAUGGGUCUGUAGCAGCUCAUCCUGCUCAAGGUUGACUAUAAGUUUUGGUCAGUGAAGGGGAUGUAAUUAGUAAUGGAAUUAGAACACAGGUUCCUUGACGAAAUUUGAAGAUGUAACCCGCCACCCAUGUUUCGCAGCCAUCGCCCAUGGACUUGCCAAGUUUCUGGUGGUGCCCAUUGUGGAUGAAAUUACUGAUUGCCUGAAGUACUCAAAGUUUCAUGAGUAUAACAAAGAUUACAGCUUGGGUAUCUGUAAAGUGGUUAUGUUGAGAUAAAAGGACAAUAAUUUGAGAUUUCUGUUUACAUCUCAAAUGUUCCAUUUAAUUUUUUUACGCUACUUUAUAACUUCGCCUUUCAGUUUAAAUCUCAUAAUAUGCAUUGUUUCUUUUAUCCAGGAUUGAA